GAACACAAAAUGGCGACACGUGGUUAGCAUUCGUCGCCAACGAGAAAUUGGGGUCGGCCCGAAAGCUCUAGAAUGCACCCCUCUUCCUCCCCGGGGCCUUCCACCUCCGCGAGUUUUAUGACUUAAAAAAGCCCACAGGCUGGUCUGAAGGUCGGAGGCCUAAUUUUAACGCGUUUUCCUCCCUUUAAUUUGAAACGGGAACGCGAAUGACUGUAAAAUGUGGGCACAAUAUUUAAUCUCUCGCCUUUUUAAAGCUUAAUAGUGGAUAAUAGGGGGGCAGUAUCAAGGGAUAAUUUGGGUCCCCACAGUACCAAAGCAUUUAGAAACCUCUGUUUAAUUUAAGGAAUGAGAUAAGUUACUGCUUUUCUAGACUUCCUAGCAUGGGCUGUUGUGCUGGAGAGAACGAGAGCUACGAAGAGACUACAGUGCCUCUGACUUUUUCAUAGGACAGUUGGCCGGUGAAUCUUAUUAAUAGUUUACCACAAUUAAGUGUUCAUUUUUAGUCUAGAAGGGACAGGCGUUUAUUGUGCAUUGGCCAGUGCCAGCACAUCCGAUGCAAGGCAGUUCACCGUAUUCUAUCUUUAAUUUUUACCAUGGUCCUCUGAGGUAGGUGUUCUUAUCUCUCUCUCUCUCUCUCUCUUUUAAACAGAGGAAGACAAACAUAAAGAUGAAGUGCUUAAUUCAAGGUCACACAAUGUCGGGGAUGGACCUCCAGAUUUCCUUACUGACCUGCAUUAUCUUGUGGAUACCUGAGUGAAUUCCACACCACCCAUUUUAUAGAUGAAACCACUGAGACAUGGAGCAAUUGACUGAGUAGUCACUGCCCCACCCCUGC
rnacentral:lncRNA from 10 species